CAAAAAGUNGCUUAAACAAAGCACUCAACUUACAAUUGAGAGAUGUUACAAAUCUAACCUUUUUGC
rnacentral:tRNA from 1 species